UCACCGCAUAGAUGACAGAGGGAGCGAGGAGAGUGCUGAUCAAGUCAAUCUGGAGACCUCACCGCGAGAUGACAGAGGGAGCGAGGAGAGUGCUGAUCAAGUCAAUGAGGCGACAGCAUUAGAAGUGGUUUCCUGCAGUCAG